rnacentral:rRNA from 1 species
GCAUUUUGGGUGUACCUUGUAGUGAUGAUGAAUUUGGGCAUGUGCACACCUAUCUCUUUCUCCACACACACCUGUGCACUUGUGAGGCAGAUGGGGAAUUUAUUGAUUGUUUUUUAAGAACAAUUGGUGCUGGACCCUCUGUCUACUCAAUAUAUAAACUCAAUUUAUUUAGAAAUGAAUGUAAUGGAUGUAACGCAUCUAAUACUAAGUUUCAACAACGGAUCUCUUGGCUCUCGCAUCGAUGAAGAACGCAGCGAAAUGCGAUAAGUAAUGUGAAUUGCAGAAUUCAGUGAAUCAUCGAAUCUUUGAACGCACCUUGCGCUCCUUGGUAUUCCUUGGAGCAUGCCUGUUUGAGUAUCAUGAAAUCUUCAAAGUAAAUCUUUUGUUAACUCNAUUGGUUCUACUUUGGUAUUGGAGGUCUUUGCAGCUUCACACCUGCUCCUCUUCGUUCAUUAGCUGGAUCUCAGUGUUAUGCUUGGUUCCACUCAGCGUGAUAAGUUAUCUAUCGCUUGAGGACACUGUAACAGGUGGCCAAGGGAAAUGCAGAUGAACCGCUUCUAAUAGUCCAUUGACUUGGACACUAUUUUUAUAUCUAGGUCAGGAA